AGAGUUGAUCUGGCUCAGGAUGAACGCUAGCUACAGGCUUAACACAUGCAAGUCGAGGGGCAGCAUGAAGUUGCUGCAAACUUGAUGGCGACCGGCGCACGGGUGAGUAACGCGUAUCCAACCUGCCUUCAGCCCGGGGAUAGCCCUUGGAAAUGAGGAUUAACACCCGAUAGGUGCGCAUUCCGCAUGGCGUGCGCAUGAAACUGGACUGGAGAUGGGGACGCGUCGGAUUAGCUUGACGGCGGGCGACGGCCCACCGUGGCGACGAUCCGCAGGGUUCUGAGAGGAACGGUCCCCCACACUGGCACUGAGACACGGGCCAGACUCCUACGGGAGGCAGCAGUGAGGAAUAUUGGUCAAUGGCCGAGAGGCUGAACCAGCCAAAAGUAGCGUGCAGGACGACCGGCCCGUUACGGGUUAGUAAACUGUCUUUUGGCGGGGGGAUAAAGGACGCCACGUGUGGCGUUUUGCAGGUAUCCCGUGAAUAAGGACCGGCUAAUUCCGUGCCAGCCGCGGC
rnacentral:rRNA from 1 species